rnacentral:rRNA from 1 species
ACUCCUACGGGAGGCAGCAGUGGGGAAUCUUCCGCAAUGGACGAAAGUCUGACGGAGCAACGCCGCGUGAGUGAAGAAGGUUUUCGGAUCGUAAAACUCUGUUUUCAGGGACGAAUGUGCGUCAUGUAAAUAAUGUGAUGUAAUGACGGUACCUGAGUAGAAAGCCACGGCUAACUACGUGCCAGCAGCCGCGGUAAUACGUAGGUGGCAAGCGUUGUCCGGAAUUAUUGGGCGUAAAGCGCGCGCAGGUGGGAUAUUAAGUCUGGUGUUAAAGUUCGGGGCUCAACCCCGUGAAGCAUUUGGAAACUGAUAUUCUUGAGUGCAGGAGAGGAAAGUGGAAUUCCUAGUGUAGCGGUGAAAUGCGUAGAUAUUAGGAGGAACACCAGUGGCGAAGGCGACUUUCUGGACUGUGUCUGACACUGAGGCGCGAAAGCCAGGGUAGUGAACGGGAUUAGAUACCCCGGUAAUCCUGGCCGUAAACGAUGGGUACUAGGUGUUGGGGGUAUCGACCCCUCCAGUGCCGGAGUUAACGCAAUAAG